rnacentral:lncRNA from 1 species
AAGGCGUCAGCGGCGGAUGGGGAUCGAUGGCUAGGGUCCGGAUCCCAUGAUAAAUAUUUUCAAGGAAUGGGUUCCGAGAUUCGAACAUGGGUCCUCCAGAGUGGAAAGCCGAAGCGUUUCCACGCAGCCAAUCCGGCCGACAGGGAUUGAAGUUUGGUGGGAUAUUCUGUAUCUUACGGCGGCCAUUUAUAGAGCCCGUCACAUGCUGGCCAAUAUCCAUGAUGGAGUCAACCCGAUGAUUGAAGUAUGAUAUUCAACGAGCCGUGCCUAGCCCCUUCCUUAAAAACUAGAAGUAUGGGAUCCGGAUUUGAAUCCGGAUCCUCCAGAGUGGCAA